ACCACCAAAACCACCAAGAAAAAACCCACCUGCAGGCAAAACCUGUGUAAAUGUUUUCUCGACAAAAUGAGAGACUACACGGUUACCCCAGAGGAAAAGCAUAACGCACUGACAGGAAGAAAAUCGAUUAGUGAAAGGUCGCCAUUUCUGAAAUUAGGAAACAAUAACUGGCGAGGAGUAUUGUGUGUUUGGCGCGCUCAAGCCUCAAGUCCUAUCUCGGGAAAACACUUAGGUAAAAAGUGGAUUGCACGGUUUUGCUUCUAAAAGGCAGAAUGCUACCGAACUGCGGGUUAAAAGUUUCAAAGCAUUCAACACACAGGGAAAAAAGAGGGCACAAAAACAGCAAGUUGGUUUCGGGUAAAAGAAAUGCUGAAAUAUCCUUGUGAGUCGGUUUCAACCAUUACAUAGAGACUGCUUUUUUCUACGAAUCUCUCUACAGAGCCAAUUUUAUCUUGUCAACUCUUUUCUGAGUGGCUUUUAUUUUCUUGGUAUUAUUUUCAAAAUCAUGCAGAUUUUUGCCGCCGCUAGAUAAGCUUCCUUGAAUAAGACGAUUUCUUAUGAUAAAUAGUACUGCAUGAUACUUCAAUAACAAAACAUGUUAGUACAUCGAAUGUGUACUUACCGAGUUUAUUCAGGUCGAAGAUGCCAGGUUCUCUAGUGAGCUAGUACAGCGACUUAUAUCGGCCAGUUUUACAAGCGUUAUUGUGAUUGACAACCAAUCAGAAUUAACUCGCUUUAAACCACGUCACUUCUCGCAUGUUACCUGUUAGAGUACAAAUUGUAAAAUGUAAAUUUGUCUGUAAUAGAGUAACUGAAAAUCA